GACGAACGCUGGCGGCGUGCUUAACACAUGCAAGUCGAACGGAACGGCCCUGCUUUUGUGCGCACCGCGGGGGGCGAACGGGGAAGUAACACGUGGGUAACCUACCCCUGACUUUGGGAUAACUUCAUGACACUGGGGCUAAUACCGGAUAGGAGCUCCUGCUGCUGGGUGGGGGCGGGAAAGUUUCGGCGGUUGGGGAUGGACUCGCGGCUUAUCAGCUUGUUGGUGGGGUAGUGUCUUAGCAAGGCCUUGAAGGGUAGCCGGCCUGAGAGGGUGAGCGGACACACUGGGAUUGAGAUGCGGCACAGACUACUACGGGAGGGAGCGGUGGGGAAUAGUGUACAAUGGGCGGGAGCAUGGUGCAGCAACGCCGCGUCCGGGAAGACGGGCUGCGGGUUGUAAUCCGAUUCCGCUUGUGACGAAGCGUUAGUGACGGUAAUGGGUGAAGAAGCACCGGCUAACUACGUG
rnacentral:rRNA from 1 species